rnacentral:tRNA from 1 species
CAUUAGAUGGCUGAAAGCAAGCGCUGGUCUCUUAAACCACUUUAUAGUAACCUCGCAAUUACUUCUAAUG